UACGUAGGGGGCAAGCGUUGUCCGGAGUUACUGGGCGUAAAGCGCACGCAGGCGGUCUCUUAAGUUUGGAGUGACAGUUGGUGGCUUAACUGCCAAAGUGCUUCGAAAACUGAGAGACUUGAGGGCUUCAGAGGGACACGGAAUUCCGGGUGGAGUGGUGAAAUGCGCAGAUAUCAGGAGGAACACCGGUGGCGAAGGCGGAUCUCUGGGCCAUUACUGACGCUGAGACGCGAAAGCGUGGGGAGCGAACAGG
rnacentral:rRNA from 1 species